UACAGAGGGCCCGAGCGUUGUUCGGAUUCAUUGGGCGUAAAGGGUGCGUAGGCGGCGGGGCAAGUCUGAUGUGAAAUCCCGGGGCUCAACCCCGGAACUGCAUUGGAUACUGCCUUGCUAGAGUACUGGAGAGGGAACUGGAAUUUACGGUGUAGCAGUGAAAUGCGUAGAGAUCGUAAGGAAGGCCAGUGGCGAAGGCGAGUUCCUGGACCGAGAUUGACGCUGAGGCGCGAAAGCCAGGGGAGCAAACGGG
rnacentral:rRNA from 1 species